AUUGAACGCUGGCGGCAGGCCUAACACAUGCAAGUCGAGCGGAUGAAGGGAGCUUGCUCCUGGAUUCAGCGGCGGACGGGUGAGUAAUGCCUAGGAAUCUGCCUGGUAGUGGGGGAUAACGUCCGGAAACGGGCGCUAAUACCGCAUACGUCCUGAGGGAGAAAGUGGGGGAUCUUCGGACCUCACGCUCUCAGAUGAGCCUAGGUCGGAUUAGCUAGUUGGUGGGGUAAAGGCCUACCAAGGCGACGAUCCGUAACUGGUCUGAGAGGAUGAUCAGUCACACUGGAGCUGGGACACGGUCCAGACUCCUACGGGAGGCAGCAGUGGGGAAUAUUGGACAAUGGGCGAAAGCCUGAUCCAGCCAUGCCGCGUGUGUGAAGAAGGUCUUCGGAUUGUAAAGCACUUUAAGUUGGGAGGAAGGGCAGUAAGUUAAUACCUUGCUGUUUUGACGUUACCAACAGAAUAAGCACCGGCUAACUUCGUG
rnacentral:rRNA from 1 species